rnacentral:rRNA from 1 species
CGGGGAAUAUUGCACAAUGGGGGAAACCCUGAUGCAGCAACGCCGCGUGAAGGAUGACGGUUUUCGGAUUGUAAACUUCUUUUCUUAGUGACGAAGACAGUGACGGUAGCUAAGGAAUAAGCAUCGGCUAACUACGUGCCAGCAGCCGCGGUAAUACGUAGGAUGCAAGCGUUAUCCGGAUUUACUGGGUGUAAAGGGAGCGCAGGCGGGACUGCAAGUUGGAUGUGAAAUACCGUGGCUUAACCACGGGACUGCAUCCAAAACUGUAGUUCUUGAGUGAAGUAGAGGCAAGCGGAAUUCCGAGCGUAGCGGUGAAAUGCGUAGAUAUUCGGAGGAACACCAGUGGCGAAGGCGGCUUGCUGGGCUUUAACUGACGCUGAGGCUC